AUUGAACGCUGGCGGCAGGCCUAACACAUGCAAGUCGAGCGGAUGAGUGGAGCUUGCUCCAUGAUUCAGCGGCGGACGGGUGAGUAAUGCCUAGGAAUCUGCCUGGUAGUGGGGGACAACGUUUCGAAAGGAACGCUAAUACCGCAUACGUCCUACGGGAGAAAGCAGGGGACCUUCGGGCCUUGCGCUAUCAGAUGAGCCUAGGUCGGAUUAGCUAGUAGGUGGGGUAAUGGCCCACCUAGGCGACGAUCCGUAACUGGUCUGAGAGGAUGAUCAGUCACGCUGGAACUGAGACACGGUCCAGACUCCUACGGGAGGCAGCAGUGGGGAAUAUUGGACAAUGGGCGAAAGCCUGAUCCAGCCAUGCCGCGUGUGUGAAGAAGGUCUUCGGAUUGUGAAGCACUUUAAGUUGGGAGGAAGGGCAGUAAGUUAAUACCUUGCUGUUUUGACGUUACCAACAGAAUAAGCACCGGCUAACUUCGUGCCAGCAGCCGCCGUAAGAC
rnacentral:rRNA from 1 species